rnacentral:rRNA from 1 species
CGUGCAGGUGGUUCGGUAAGUUGGAUGUGAAAGCUCCCGGCUCAACUGGGAGAGGUCGUUCAAUACUACCGGACUUGAGAGCAGUAGAGGGAGGUGGAAUUCCCGGUGUAGUGGUGAAAUGCGUAGAUAUCGGGAGGAACACCAGUGGCGAAAGCGGCCUCCUGGACUGUUUCUGACACUCAGACGCGAAAGCUAGGGUAGCAAACGGGAUUAGAGACCCCGGUAGUCCUAGCUGUAAACGAUGUGAACUUGGCGUCGGUGGGUUCAAAGCCAUCGGUGCCGUAGCCAACGCGAUAAGUUCACCGCCUGGGGACUACGGCCGCAAGGUUAAA